rnacentral:rRNA from 1 species
AGUGAACGCUGGCGGCGUGCCUAAUACAUGCAAGUCGAACGGAGUGGCGCACGGGUGAGUAAUGUAUAGCUAAUCUGCCCUACACUAGAGGACAACAGUUGGAAACGGCUGCUAAUACUCUAUAGUGUAGGAUGAGGCUAUAUUGUAUCAGCUAGUUGGUGAGGUAAUGGCUCACCAAGGCUAUGACGCAUAACUGGGCUGAGAGGAUGUUCAGUAGCACUGGAACGGAGACACGGGCCAGGCUCCUGCGGGAGGCAGCGGUAGGGAGUAUUGCUCAAUGGGGGAAACCCUGAAGCAGCAUCGCGGCGUAGAGGAUGACACUUUUCGUAGCGUAAACUCCUUUUGUUAGGGAAGCGGUACCUAACGAAUAAGCACCGGCUAACUCCGUGCCAGCCGCCGCGGUAAUAC